GAUGAACUACUGUCCUGGUUUGCCUAGGACUGAGGGGUUUUCUGGGACACAGGAUUUUUGGAGCCAAAACCUAGAUUAGUUGUCACCCUAUC
rnacentral:pre_miRNA from 10 species